AGGACCGUUCUCGGGUGUAAAAGUCCGUGAGCCCAGCGAUAGCUGCGAGCUGCUAACCAGUCAGGUAAACAGCCCCGGCCAUCUCAUGAGAGACGGCACUGAGCAAGAAACAGCCUGAUGAAAACGUUCAGCACUCGACUGGAGGCUUUAAACGAACGCAAACGUCAAUAAACGGAAUGCCUGAGACUUCCAAAACCUGCCGAAAAUGAUGUAGCAAGCUAACUUUAGCCGUCUGCCUAGCGCGAUCUGCUCAAACCAUGGACUGUGACGGAUUUGGAGUCCCUUGUCCUCUGUCUAGUUUGGACUCACAGGAAGAUGCCAAAGACCCAGGGCUGCACACCUUCAGUCACACACACAUGAGGAAAGCCUUUCGGCUCAUGAAUGACUUGAGAAGUCGGAGGAUGCUUUGUGACGUUCUGCUGGUGGCGGGUGAAGUGGAGGUACCAGCACACAGAGUAGUUUUAGCGUCCUGCAGUCCUUACUUCUGCGCCAUGUUCACAGGUGACAUGAGUGAAAGCAAGGCUCACCAUGUGGAGAUCAGGGAUGUUGAUGGACAGACACUCUUGAAGCUGGUGGAUUAUAUUUACACUGCCGAGAUCGAAGUGUCUGAGGAUAAUGUUCAGGUGUUGCUCCCAGCUGCCAGCCUGCUGCAGUUGAUGGAUGUUCGACAGGUUUGCUGUGACUUCCUGCAGACGCAGCUUCAUCCCACCAACUGCUUGGGCAUCCGAGCGUUCGCUGACCUUCACGCCUGCACAGGACUGCUCAGCCAGGCCCACGCUUACGCCGAGCAGCACUUCACAGACGUCAUGGUGGGUGAGGAGUUCAUGGCCCUUUCCUUGCAGCAGGUGUGCAGUCUGAUCUCCAGUGACAAACUGACGGUGUCCACUGAAGAGAAGGUAUUUGAAGCCAUGAUCACCUGGAUAAAGCACGAUAAAGAGGCCCGUCUUGAGCACAUGCCUAAACUCAUGGAACAUGUUCGACUGCCCCUGCUAUCCAGAGAUUACCUGGUUCAGAUUGUAGAGGAGGAGCCCUUAAUAAAAAACAACAACACUUGUAAGGACUUUCUCAUCGAGGCGAUGAAGUACCACCUUUUACCUGCAGACCAGCGGCACCUUAUAAAAACUGACAGAACCAGACCACGCACACCAGUCAGUUUGCCGAAGGUGAUGAUGGUUGUAGGGGGUCAGGCGCCUAAAGCCAUCCGCAGCGUGGAGUGCUAUGACUUUCAAGAGGACCGCUGGUACCAGGUGGCCGACUUACCCUCCAGACGCUGUCGAGCAGGUGUGGUGUAUAUGGCCGGUAAGGUGUAUGCGGUGGGGGGAUUUAACGGCUCCCUGCGUGUGCGGACGGUGGACGUAUAUGAUGGGCUGAAGGAGCAGUGGAGCUCUGUUCCCAGCAUGCAAGAGCGCCGCAGCACUUUAGGAGCAGCUGUACUGGGGGACCUGCUGUACGCUGUCGGGGGCUUUGACGGGAGUACAGGUCUGUCGUCAGUGGAGGCGUACAGCCCCAAGGCUAAUGAGUGGAUGUUUGUGGCUCCCAUGAACACCAGGCGCAGCAGUGUUGGGGUGGGAGUGGUCGACGGAAAGCUUUAUGCUGUUGGAGGAUAUGACGGAGCGUCCCGACAGUGUUUGAGUACUGUAGAGGAGUAUAACCCGGUCAGUAAUAAGUGGUGCUAUGUGGCAGACAUGAGCACUAGACGCAGUGGAGCUGGUGUCGGAGUGCUCAGUGGACAGCUGUAUGCUGCAGGUGGACAUGACGGUCCUCUGGUGAGGAAGAGUGUCGAGGUCUAUGAUCCUGCCACUAAUACCUGGAGACAGGUGUGUGACAUGAACAUGUGCCGAAGGAAUGCAGGAGUGUGUGCCAUAAACAGUUUACUGUAUGUGAUCGGAGGAGACGACGGCUCGUGUAACCUGUCCUCUGUGGAGUACUACGACGCUGCUGCCGAUAAAUGGAGUCUCAUUCCCACCAACAUGAGCAACGGACGCAGCUACGCAGGGGUGUCAGUUAUUGACAAGCCAUUAUGACUAAAAGUCUCUUCGCACCUGUCGAGGGCUGAGCUGUGACAGACAGACGGUGAUUUAAGACAGGUGCUCGAAGCUCUCCAUCUCAAAGCCUGGCUGCCUCACACACACACACACACACACACACACACACACACACCAAGCCCUGACCUCUCCCAGUCUCCAGAAAGUGCCAUUUAGCCCUGUUAUUAACAGAGAGGCCAUGAGGUCGCCCAGUAUAGUGUGUAUUAAAUGAGACCUCGUUUAUAGUCUGCCAGGACCGAGUGCGUAUGGGACGCCUACAUGAGCUGGUGCAGGUGAAGAUUGUGCCAACAGAGGCCUCUCUGCCUGCUUCACUACUGACUGACAACGCUCCGAACAAACACUCGCAUCGCAGGAACAGUCCAUAUGAUGCCAAAACUGUUUCUACGGGUUAACACUAAUGCAUAUCACACCCUUUAAAGCGGAUCAGGACUGGAUAUCACUGACUUCUGUUGGUUUGGUUACAGGGUUACUUUAUGUUUAUAUGAAAAGUAUUAUGGGCACAAGCCCAUAAGUUGUUUUAACCAGCUGCUUUCGUGCCAUAUAGUAUUGAGGAUGUUAAACUGCUAAACCGAUCAUAUAAAUCUCACAGGGUAAAGGUAUGGUCACAUUUCAGCUUGAAAUUUCAACUUGAAUCCAUUGUGAAGAGCACAUUGAUUCCUAUUGAAAUGACUGGAAUUCGCCUGUGAAAAUUCAGUAAAUGUGACCAUACCAGUUAAUGUGCCAAAUGUAACUCACAAUUCAUAUGGAUAAUGCUGUAUGUUAGUUACUUGUACAUAAGCACUUUUCAUGAUGCAGUUUGGUGUGCAAUCGUCCAUGUUGGACACACAGCGUCUUUCUUUGAUCAUGACAACUCUCUCUGAAAUAGCACUGGCUUGGUGUCUUUUUGGUAAAAUUGCACUGUUCAUCUUAUUCAGUAGAGCUGGUACUAUUUCAAUCGCAGGUAAAUACCAAGAUAGCACAGGUUCAUGUCAAGUAUACCAUUUAUCCUGUUCUAUUCUGACUGGGUAAUUUGCAUCAGUGGUUCAACAGAACUAGACUUUGGAAGACUCUUUUAUUUUAAAUAUUUAAAAAUAUUAAGCCUUCUUAAGGUUCUUUUUCUCAUUAUUGGGUUAUAGGAUCUGUAAAGCUUCACUGUAGACCAUUCCUGUUUACAAUACUGAUCAUUGUGAAAUGAAAACUAAUUUCGUUGGUAACAAAUAUGAAUUAACAAAUUCACAUAUCACAUUCUCAUUCUCACAAUGCCCUACUUUCUUUUUAAUUUGGAUAUAUACUGAUCUAAAAGUCAUACUAUGCAGUAAAACAUUGUUUUUGUUGUUCCCAGUUACUCAGUUUAUUUUGUGCUAUGCCUGGUGUAACUGCUGCCAUUACACAUCAUGAUCCACAGCUCUAAAACUAUGACAUUCCAGUGCGGUGCAUCAUCUAUGGAGUAUGCACGAAUGUGGUUUGUGAGCAAGGUAUUUAUGUAUUUCUAAACAAAAUGUAUUAAUAAAUUAAGCUGAUAAGAGAAUUGGAUU